rnacentral:rRNA from 1 species
GGUCCCUAUCUUCCGUGGGCGCUGCAAGAUUGAGAGAGCCUGCUCCUAGUACGAGAGGACCGGAGUGGACGCACCUCUGGUGUAUCGGUUGUCACGCCAGUGGCAUCGCCGAGUAGCUAUGUGCGGAAGAGAUAACCGCUGAAAGCAUCUAAGCGGGAAGCCUCCUCCAAGACUAGGUUUCCCUGAGAAUUAAUUUCUCCUAAAGGUCCGUUCGAGACCAGGACGUUGAUAGGCUGGGUGUGUAAGUGCAGUAAUGCAUUGAGCUGACCAGUACUAAUUGCUCGUGAGGCUUGACCCUAUAACGCUG